rnacentral:rRNA from 1 species
UACAGAGGUCCCAAGCGUUGUUCGGAUUCAUUGGGCGUAAAGGGUGUGUAGGUGGCGCCGUAAGUCGGGUGUGAAAUUUCGGAGCUUAACUCCGAAACUGCAUUCGAUACUGCGGUGCUUGAGGACUGGAGAGGAGACUGGAAUUCAUGGUGUAGCAGUGAAAUGCGUAGAGAUCAUGAGGAAGACCAGUGGCGAAGGCGGGUCUCUGGACAGUUCCUGACACUGAGACACGAAGGCCAGGGAGCAAACGGG